CGGAAGUGGUGCUGCAGCUUGUGCUCCCGAGAACCCCGAUUCCUCCACGCCCCCUCCCUCCCUCCCUCCCCCCACUGGCUCGGAGUUGAGCCGAGGCUGAGAGAAGGCGGGAGCGCCGGAAACGAAAAGGGGGGAGGGAGGGAAAUAGCUAUGUAGGGGGGGCCACAAUGGGGAAAGGGGGAAAUGCAAAGGUCGAGUCACUUCCGGGAGCGGCAAGAGCACAUCCGGCGCGGCUCGCGCUCCAGGGUAUUCAGGGCGGACGUUACGACAAAUAGGGGCGGAAGUGGCUUCUGCCCAGGGACGCAGGACCCGCCAGGGAUGUGACGCCACAGCGGAAGUGAAGGUGUGCUCUUGAAUGUCUCAAUACUGUGAAUACACGGAGAGGGAUAAGGGUGUGUCGGCUUUCUGAGAUCCCUACUUUGGCCCAAGGAGUAACUAAUAACCUUUCCCAGCCAUCAGAGUCCGCCCCGUCUCUGACCACACCCGUUACUCCCCUUUUCUUUGGUCUCUAAACUCCACUGGCCGUCGUCCACAGCUCUAUCUCCUCCCCUGGCUUUACUUUUAAAUAUAUCACUCACCUCUACCUGGUACAUUGUUUGCUGUCCUCCUUUUCCUUCUGGAAUGUCGGCUCCAUGAGGACAAGGACUGUGAAUUGUUCACUGCCCUAUCCUCAGAGCUGGGCGCUUAACCGUCGGUAAACGUUUAUUAUAUCAACUAUCAACGAACAGUUACAAUGAAAUCUUUCAGGAAGCCUUCCUCGAUUGCUCCAACCCGUAACGAUCCUGUCCUCUGAAUUCCCACAGCAUUCGGUCCCUACCUUUUGUUGCUGUUUUGACUAUUUCGUGUAUGUGAUCUUCAGCGAAAUUGUCAGCAACUCAGGGGAGAAACUGUCUCAUACAUGGUACCUUCCCACUGCUUUGCUAAUCACACAGUAAAUGCUGAAUAAAUAUAUGCCAUUUAAGCAAAUAAAUGCUCCCACUAGCCUGCCCCGGAUCUGACUAGAAUCCCUCUGGGCUUGGCUCUAUUUUGAGUGAAACAGAAUUGAAGUGCCUCCUAUUAACAGUAAUAUUUCCUUGCUUAGAGAUUAAAAUAACCGUGAUAGGAAUAAUUGUAAUGCCAAAUCUUACAGAUAAUGAACAUAAGACUCUGAAGACUUCAGUGAAUUUUCCCAAAAUCACAGCGCAGAAGUAGCAAAAGAUACCUAAAAAUAAACAUUUCAAUUAAAUGUUUAAAUGGAGGAUA